rnacentral:rRNA from 1 species
UACGGGGGGGGCAAGCGUUGUUCGGAAUUACUGGGCGUAAAGGGCUCGUAGGCGGCCAACUAAGUCGGAUGUGAAAUCCCCAGGCUUAACCUGGGAACUGCAUCCGAUACUGGAUGGCUUGAAUCCGGGAGAGGGAUGCGGAAUUCCAGGUGUAGCGGUGAAAUGCGUAGAUAUCUGGAGGAACACCGGUGGCGAAGGCGGCAUCCUGGGCCGGCAUUGACGCUGAGGAGCGAAAGCCAGGGGAGCAAACGGG